UACGUAGGGGGCAAGCGUUGUCCGGAAUCAUUGGGCGUAAAGCGCGUGUAGGCGGCCCGGUAAGUCCGCUGUGAAAGUCGGGGGCUCAACCCUCGAAUGCCGGUGGAUACUGUCGGGCUAGAGUGCGGGAGAGGCGAGUGGAAUUCCUGGUGUAGCGGUGAAAUGCGCAGAUAUCAGGAGGAACACCAAUUGCGAAGGCAGCGCGCCGGAACGUAACUGACGCUGAGACGCGAAAGCGUGGGGAGCAAACAGG
rnacentral:rRNA from 1 species